UAUAUUUGAUUUUUGUUUUUGGUUACUGGUCGUAAAACUGGAGUUGGCGGGAUAGUUCGAACAACACAGAUUCAAUAUACAUUAACAGCGAACGAAAAGAAAGACGUCCUCAAGACUCCUAACUAUCCAAACUUCUAUUUGGAGCCUUUUAAGAUCGAAUGGAACAUUAAAGCAAACAAUUCAUUCUCUAAGGCCAUAGUAAAGUUGAAUUUCUUGGACGCUGAUUUUCCUCAGUCAUUUACCUGUUAUGAAGACCAUGUGGAUGUUAUGGAUGGCCCCUCUAUGUUAUAUUCUACAAUAAAGACAUAUUGUGGUGGAUCAGUUCCAGGUUUGGUUACCCUAUCUGGCGAUUCUGCAACUAUAUAUUUCUAUACUACCAGCGAAGACAAUAAUUAUAGAGGAUUCAAGAUGGAAUAUUGGGCUGAAGAAGAUGUAGAUCAGUUUGGACCAAUACACUACAGUACUGUUAACUACGUUUUAAUGGUGUUAAGUGCUGUUGUUCUUUUGGUAGUAUUGAUAGGUUUCAUAUAUCUUAUCAUUCGAGACUGCAGGAAAAAGCCAACAACGUACACACCAAACUUUCAACAAUAUAGUAAACCGCCCAUGAGAAAGCGGUAUUCAUUUGUUUAUGAGAAAUAUUUCGUACACAUGGACCAAAAGAAUUUCAAACCAUUUGAGAAGUUAAAGCUGCCACCUAUCACGGAAUCUGUUUUUAGUAGACACGAUGAGAUAGACAAAAUGAAAAGUCCAAAUCGUAUGCGAGGAGAACUUUGAUUUUGAUAUUUUGUUUAACUGUUAAUCUAUAAUAAAUUGUUAUCAUUUUGUUAUAAAUAUUGAGUCAAUGAAGCUGAAAGGGGGUGAUUUAUAUUUACCUAAAGCAUACACCCUACGCCCAAUUGUGUACAUUAGCAGUACACAAUCGGUCUAGUUCUUUGCCUAAAUCUGCAAAUUUUGAGACAGAUUUGCAAUUUAUGUCUAAGACUGUUUAUUUGUAUACAGUAGAAUUAGUGAUUAAUAUUUGUGUUUUUUAAAAAUAAAUUUUUCAA